rnacentral:rRNA from 1 species
AAUAGAUACCCAGGUAGUCCACGCCGUAAACGAUGUCGACUUGGAGGUUGUUCCCUUGAGGAGUGGCUUCCGGAGCUAACGCGUUAAGUCGACCGCCUGGGGAGUACGGCCGCAAGGUUAAAACUCAAAUGAAUUGACGGGGGCCCGCACAAGCGGUGGAGCAUGUGGUUUAAUUCGAUGCAACGCGAAGAACCUUACCUACUCUUGACAUCCAGAGAACUUAGCAGAGAUGCUUUGGUGCCUUCGGGAACUCUGAGACAGGUGCUGCAUGGCUGUCGUCAGCUCGUGUUGUGAAAUGUUGGGUUAAGUCCCGCAACGAGCGCAACCCUUAUCCUUUGUUGCCAGCGGUCCGGCCGGGAACUCAAAGGAGACUGCCAGUGAUAAACUGGAGGAAGGUGGGGAUGACGUCAAGUCAUCAUGGCCCUUACGAGUAGGGCUACACACGUGCUACAAUAGCGUAUACAAAGAGAAGCGACCUCGCGAGAGCAAGCGGACCUCAUAAAGUACGUCGUAGUCCGGAUUGGAGUCUGCAACUCG